GUUUAGGUUGGAAAAUAAAGCAUUGCUCAACAAUAUAAGUAGGUUUAGGUUGAAAAAGAAAACACUUCUCAACAACAUAUGUAGGUUUAGGUUGAAAA